ACAUGUGAGGGUGAUCUGGCUGCAACAUCUGUCACCCCAUUGAUCACGGGGGUUGAUUCAGCUGAUCUGGCUGGCUAGGCGGGUGUCCCCUUCCUCCCUCACCGCUCCAUGUGUGUUCCUCCAGAAAAGCUGCACGCUCAGUCAAAGAGGACGACCAUCCCCAAAAGAGGAGGACUGUUCUUCGAUCAAAGGUAUACGAGUGGCUAAGCUCCCCUGCUAGAACCUCCCUUGCUAGAUGUGUGGUGACUCACAUCUAAUCACACUCAUGUGGGAGGAAGAAGUAGGAAGAUAAUGUCCCAAGGCUGGCCCUGGGAAGAAAGUGCAAGACUUUCUU
rnacentral:snRNA from 1 species